rnacentral:rRNA from 1 species
AUUGAACGCUGGCGGCAGGCCUAACACAUGCAAGUCGAACGAGUGGCGGACGGGUGAGUAAUGUCUGGGAAACUGCCCGAUAGAGGGGGCUAACUACUGGAAACGGUGCCUAAUACCGCAUACCAUCGGAUGUUCCCAUCUGGGAUUAGCUCGUUGGUGGGGUAACGGCUCACCAAGGCGACGAUCCCUAGCUGGUCUGCGAGGAUGAUCAGCCACACUGGAACUGAGACACGGCCCAGACUCCUACGGGAGGCAGCAGUGGGGAAUAUUGCACAAUGGGCGCAAGCCUGAUGCAGCCAUGCCGCGUGUAUGAAGAAGGCCUUAGGGUUGUAAAGUACUUUCAGCGGGGAGGCGUUACCCGCAGAAGAAGCACCGGCUAACUCCGUGCCAGCCGCCGCGGUAAUUC